rnacentral:rRNA from 1 species
GAUGAACGCUGGCGGCGUGCCUAACACAUGCAAGUCGAGCGAAGCACUUUGCUUAGAUUCUUCGGAUGAAGAGGAUUGUGACUGAGCGGCGGACGGGUGAGUAACGCGUGGGUAACCUGCCUCAUACAGGGGGAUAACAGUUAGACAUGACUGCUAAUACCGCAUAAGACCACAGCACCGCAUGGUGCGGGGGUAAAAACUCCGGUGGUAUGAGAUGGACCCGCGUCUGAUUAGCUAGUUGGUAAGGUAACGGCUUACCAAGGCGACGAUCAGUAGCCGACCUGAGAGGGUGACCGGCCACAUUGGGACUGAGACACGGCCCAAACUCCUACGGGAGGCAGCAGUGGGGAAUAUUGCACAAUGGGGGAAACCCUGAUGCAGCGACGCCGCGUGAGCGAAGAAGUAUUUCGGUACGUAAAGCUCUAUCAGCAGGGAAGAAAAUGACGGUACCUGACUAAGAAGCACCGGCUAAAUACGUGCCAGCAGCCGCGGUAAUACGUAUGGUGCGAGCGUUAUCCGGAUUUACUGGGUGUAAAGGGAGCGUAGACGGAUGGGCAAGUCUGAUGUGAAAACCCGGGGCUCAACCCCGGGACUGCAUUGGAAACUGUUCAUCUAGAGUGCUGGAGAGGUAAGUGGAAUUCCUAGUGUAGCGGUGAAAUGCGUAGAUAUUAGGAGGAACACCAGUGGCGAAGGCGGCUUACUGGACAGUAACUGACGUUGAGGCUCGAAAGCGUGGGGAGCAGACAGG